GAUGAACGCUGGCGGCGUGCCUAAUACAUGCAAGUCGAGCGAACAGACGAGGAGCUUGCUCCUCAGACGUUAGCGGCGGACGGGUGAGUAACACGUGGAUAACCUACCUAUAAGACUGGGAUAACUUCGGGAAACCGGAGCUAAUACCGGAUAAUAUAUUGAACCGCAUGGUUCAAUAGUGAAAGACGGUUUUGCUGUCACUUAUAGAUGGAUCCGCGCCGCAUUAGCUAGUUGGUAAGGUAACGGCUUACCAAGGCAACGAUGCGUAGCCGACCUGAGAGGGUGAUCGGCCACACUGGAACUGAGACACGGUCCAGACUCCGACGGGAGGCAGCAGUAGGGAAGCUUCCGCAAUGGGCGAAAGCCUGACGGAGCAACGCCGCGUGAGUGAUGAAGGGCUUCGGAUCGUAAAACUCUGUUAUUAGGGAAGAACAAAUGUGUAAGUAACUAUGCACGUCUUGACGGUACCUAAUCAGAAAGCCACGGCUAACUACGUG
rnacentral:rRNA from 1 species